rnacentral:rRNA from 1 species
GUAAGCUACUAAGGGCGCACGGUGGAUGCCUUGGCGUCAAAUGCCGAUGAAGGACGUGGUACACUGCGAUAAGCCUCGGGGAGUUGUGUGCGAACGCUAUAUCCGAGGAUGUCCGAAUGGGGAAACCCACCAGGGGUUAAUGCCCUGGUACUGCUAUUUGAAUAAAAUAGGGUAGCAGAGGGAACGAGGUGAACUGAAACAUCUAAGUAACCUCAGGAAAAGAAAUGAUUCCCAGAGUAGUGGCGAGCGAAAUGGGAGUAGCCCAAACCACAGCUAUAUGCUUGUGGGGUUGUAGGGCCAGUCGUAUGAGAGUGACAAAUCUGUUUGGUAGCAAAAUCUUCUGGAAAGUUGAGCCAUAGAGGGUGACAGCCCCGUAGGCGAAACUGAACAGACUCUCGAUUGGUACCUGAGUACGGCGGGGCACGCUAACCCUGUCGGAAUCUGGGAGGUCCACCUCCCAAGGCUAAAUACAUUUGACGACCGAUAGUGAACAAGUACCGUGAGGGAAAGGUGAAAAGACCCCCGGCUAGGGGAGUGAAAUAGAACCUGAAACCGUGUGCCUACAGACAGUCGGAGCACUAUGGCCUUCGGGCAAUGUGUGACGGCGUGCCUCUUGGAGAAUGAGCCAGCGAGUUAAUUUCAGUGGCAAGGUUAAGCCAGAAACAGGCGGAGCCGCAGCGAAAGCGAGUCUGAAUAGGGCGUUCAGUCGCUGGGAUUAGACACGAAACCAGGUGAGCUACCCAUGGGCAGGUUGAAGCGAGAGUAAUGUCUCGUGGAGGACCGAACUCACUAAUAUUGCAAAAUUAGGGGAUGACCUGUGGGUAGGGGUGAAAUGCCAAACGAACCUGGAUAUAGCUUGUUCUCUCCGAAAUAGCUUUAGGGCUAGCGUCGUGUGUUUAGUAUAGGGGGUAGAGCACUGAAUGAGCUAGGGGGCGCAAGCUUACCAACCUCAAUCAAACUCCGAAUACCUAUACUCCAAGCACGGCAGUCGGACUGCGUGAGAUGAGUUUCGCAGUCGAAAGGGAAACAGCCCAGACCGUCAGCUAAGGUCCCCAAGUGUGUGUUAAGUGGGAAACGAUGUGAGAGUGUUUAGACAGCCAGGAGGUUGGCUUAGAAGCAGCCACCCUUUAAAGAGUGCGUAACAGCUCACUGGUCAAACGCUCUUGCGCGGAAAAUUUAACGGGGCUCAAACACACCACCGAAGCUACGGAUAGCAUCUUCUGAUGCUAUGGUAGGAGAGCGUUGUAUAGGAGAUACAAGGUAGACCGAAAGGACUGCUGCGGCCUAUACAAGUGAGAAUGCUGGCAUGAGUAGCGCAAAACAUGUGAGAACCAUGUUCCCCGUAAACCUAAGGUUUCCGACGGAAGGCCAGUCCUCGUCGGGUUAGUCGGUCCUUAGCCGAGGUCGAGAGACGUAGGUGAUGGACAUCGGGUUAAUAUUCCCGAACCACUUAGAUGGAGCGAUGAAGGGACGCGGUGUGGUAGGUCAGCCUCUUAUCGGAUUGAGGUGCCAAACGCGUAGGACGUUGAAGGAAGUAGGCAAAUCCGCUUCCCGAGUCCGAAACGUGACGGCGGUGCCUUAGAGCCACAAGUGAUUGAGCCAUACCGCCAAGAAAAGCUUCUAAGCGUUGAAAUUUAAGUGACCGUACCGCAAACCGACACUGGUAGGUGGGUAGAAUAUACCAAGGGGAUCGAGAGAACCUUCGUUAAGGAAUUAGGCAAAUUUCCCCCGUACGUUCGCAAUAAGGGGGGCCUCUGGCGGUUAGCUAUGCAAAGCUGCUGGAGGCCGCAGUGAAAUGGCUCUUCCAACUGUUUAACAAAAACACAGGUCUCUGCUAAGUCGAAAGACGAAGUAUAGGGGCUGACGCCUGCCCAGUGCUGGAAGGUUAAGGGGAGAGGUUAGGCGCAAGCCGAAGCUUUGAGCCGAAGCCCCAGUGAACGGCGGCCGUAACUAUAACGGUCCUAAGGUAGCGAAAUUCCUUGUCGGGUAA